rnacentral:rRNA from 1 species
UAUCUUGGCUCAUAUAGUACAGAAAUUACUCGAUGGCGAUAUUCAACAAGUAGAACAUUGCAAUUUGUUGAAGCGUAUUUUUCUGGAAAUGGUCCAAGCUGGUUGGUUGCAAAUGGGGCAUACUUAUAUGCUGCGAAUGAGAAUGAUGCACGAAUUCAAGCAUUUUCAAUGAAUUCAAAUUUGGAAUUGGUAUCUCUUAAUGGUAAAGAAACGUUUGGCGAAUAUCCUUGUUUUAUUAGUGUUGCCCCAAAUGGAAAAUUUAUU